CGCCUGGCAGAAACAGGAAAGAAAACAAACAAACUGAAUAACACCGGGGAUUCGAGUUAAAUAGGACACUAUCACACUAUAAAAAGAAAAUCGAGGGUUUCUUUACCAAGAAAAUACAGUCUGUUCUCAGGAUUUCACAAAGGUAUACCUCAAUGACUGUGGGAUGACCCUCUGACAAAUUGCAUUCAAGUACGAAUCAAUAAGAAAGACACAAAGAUGGUGACGAAUAGAACUCUUGGCAAGAUAGCAGUGAUUGGAGGAUUUUUCGCUUUGGGUUCAGCCAGUGUCUUCCGCUGGAAAAUCGAAUCGUCCAUCAAGAAAUCGGCCUACUUUGAGUUGGCCAUCAAAGAACUUUUGGCCAGCAAGGCUGCCACCGCCGUCCUGGGCGAACCUGUUCUCGUUGGCAGCAUCGAUUUGGGCGAUACACGAACAAACUUUUGCGAUGGCCUUCAGGCCCAUUUUAAAGUUUCAGUCAGAGGGCCCAAGAGUUCGGGAUUCAUGACCUUCGAUGCCUCGAGAAAUCCGCCCAGCCAGCCGGAAUGGAGGUUGAACACGGUCGAGCUCACCGACAAGGAGGCCACCAAGAAACUGAUGAUCGUGAGCCCCACCUCUGCUGAUUGAAAUUCACUCUAGCCAAAAAUAAAUUUAAAAGUAAAAGUAUAAUAAAAGAAAAGAACAAAUCACACAUAGUCAGUUUUGUUUUUUUGAGGAGGGGUACUCAUCUAAAAGAAUUUAUUAUUCGAUACCCAAAUAGAUGUUAUAUUGUACAUGGUAUUUUUUAUUUUUUUAUAUUUGUCUCGUAAUAAAAUAAAAAAAGGAGAGGAUGCAGUCGCAUUUGGAUUCGCCACCGGAGGGAGGGGAGGGGUAUAACAAUUGAAUUUCUAAAACACAAAAAUUCUAAUUUUUUUUUUUUUUUUUUUUAGUAGCCGAUAUCCAUUUGCGUAACUGUACAGGUCUGCAUCGUCAAUCUUUUAUUUUUUUCUUCUUCGUGUGGGUUGUUUUCUCCUUCUUCCUUUUUUCCCAUUUUGAAAAAAAAAACUUUCAACUUGACGUGAAUGUUUUUUCGUUUCUGAAUUCAAAAUCAGAACGGGGGGAAACCAAAAAGCAUUCAAAUUUGUUUUUUUUUUUAGCAGGUUUUUAAAAAUCACUGCAGGCACUGGGAGGAAAGAUGAAUACAAACGAGUCAGAUAUAAUAAUUAUCAAAUAAAACACAAAUUUGUUUAGCGGGAUUCUUUUUUCGGGGGGGGGGAUAGAUAAAAAUGAGGGGGGGGCACGUUGCUGUCUUGUGACAUACGUAAUGGUAUUAUAGCAGGAUUAUUAAAACGUGAUUGAAUCAAGAGAAAAGAGAGGGGGGAUUAGAGAUUUGAUUGCUGAGACUCGGGUCGUGAAAAAUUUGAAAAACAAAAAAACAA